rnacentral:rRNA from 1 species
UAGUCCACGCUGUAAACGAUGUCAACUAGCCGUCGGACUCAUUUAAGGGUUUGGUGGCGCAGCUAACGCGAUAAGUUGACCGCCUGGGGAGUACGGCCGCAAGGUUAAAACUCAAAGGAAUUGACGGGGCCCGCACAAGCGGUGGAGCAUGUGGUUUAAUUCGAUGCAACGCGAAGAACCUUACCAGCCCUUGACAUCCUGGGAACUUUCUAGAAAUAGAUCGGUGCCUUCGGGAACCCAGUGACAGGUGCUGCAUGGCUGUCGUCAGCUCGUGUCGUGAGAUGUUGGGUUAAGUCCCGUAACGAGCGCAACCCUUGUCCUUAGUUGCCAGCACAUUAUGGUGGGAACUCUAAGGAGACUGCCGGUGCAAACCGAGAGGAAGGUGGGGAUGACGUCAAAUCAUCACGGGCCCUUACGUCCUGGGGCUACACACGUGCUACAAUGGGUAUGGACAGAGAGCAGCCACUACGCGAGUAGGGAGCGAAUCUACAAACCAUA